GACGAACGCUGGCGGCGUGCUUAACACAUGCAAGUCGAGCGGAGCGGCGCACGGGUGAGUAACGCGUGAGUAACUGCCCCCCUCUCUGGGAUAACAGUUGGAAACGGCUGCUAAUACCGGAUAGUGGGGGAUGCCUCGCGUCCUAUCAGCUUGUUGGUGGGGUAGUGGCCUACCAAGGCGACGACGGGUAGCCGGCCGGAGAGGGCGACCGGCCACAAGGGGCUGAGGGACGGCCCAGAGGCCUACGGGGGACAGUGGUGGGGAAUAGUGCACAAUGGGGGAGACCCUGAUGCAGCAACGCCGCGUGCGGGAUGACGGCCUUCGGGUUGUAAACCGCUUUCAGCCAUGACGCGGUAGUGGCAGAAGAAGCACCGGCUAACUACGUGCCAGCAGCCGCGGUAAUAC
rnacentral:rRNA from 1 species